CACGUCUGCCAAACGUCUCUUAACUGCCUCUCUCCACUUGCUCUCUCACGCUCUCUUUCUCUCUCUAGGAUUCUCUCUCGAUCCCUAAUGCCGCCGUCGCACCACCGUUACCAGAACCACCGCCUCCUUCACAACCACAUCAACGACGCCCCUCUUCCGCAGCAGCGCCGUAGUCCGCAUCUGCCGCUCUCUGAAAAUUACUCGGCUGGGACUCACUGCUGAGCUUGGCCUCUCUCUGAAAUUCAUCCUUAUCCCUACAUUCCCUCUCUAAUCUCUCUCUCAUGGCGUCGACUCUCCGCCAACAUUCCCUUCUCCAUCCCCUCGCUCCGAUCCAAACCCCCACAAAUUCGCCUUCCAAAACCCUAAAAUCUCCUCCCGAUUGAGACGAUCAUCCUACUCUCUCUCAUCAAGCCCUCACUCUCUCUCUAGGGUUUCCGAUUCUGCACUCUGUCGGUGCCACAGGAACAACGAUGACUCGGCCUCAGCUUCUCCAUCGGAUAACUCAUCCUCCGUUAACCGUCGGUGGGAUUCGGUGAUUCAGGAGGUGUUGAGGAACGCGGUUAAGAACCGUAACCAGUCGAAAGGUGUAUUGAAGAGUGUUGAUGUUUUCGAGAGAGGAAGUGAAGUGGUUGAUGAUGAAGACUGGGAUUGGGACCGGUGGCGGAAGCAUUUCAGCGAGGUCGAUGAGCAAGAGCGUAUUGUAUCGAUUUUGAAGGUCAUCCAACGGUUGCAGCAAACAUGAAGGAUGAUCUUUUGUGUCCACCGCUCGAUGGUGCUGUUGUUUCAGUGCUGAACAGACAAUCUUCUGCAGGCUCUUCGCUACGCUGCUCAAUUCGGCUCCCUUCGCUACCGACGGUGCUCUCGCAAGAGCGGAGUUCACCAUGCCCUUAACCCAGAUCCAUACAGUGGAGUCUUUGGUUCAGACAGGGAGAAGUAUGCAAGAGAUGUCGAAGAUCUCAUUACCUUUGGAACUUCAGGGCAUGUAGCUGGUUUUAUUUCUGAAGCCAUACAGGAGUGGGUGGAAUUAUUGAAUUGGCCCCAGGUUACUUCCCUGCCGUAUACAUCAAUAUUGAGAAAGCAGGAGGGCUUUGUAUUGCCGAUGAGGUUCAAUCUGGGUUUGCUCACACUGGGAGCCAUUGUUGGGGAUUUGAGACCCAAGGCAUUGUGCCUGACAUAGUGGCAAUGGCAAAGGCGAACAAGCUUCAUGAAGUGUGUUGAAGAUUUCAUAGCUAGGGUUUAUUUGCAACUUAACAAGAUUUUUCAAUGCUCAGUGGCUUCGAUUUCUCAAUCUCAAACCUCUAGUGGUCUUCUUUUACUGCGAGUAGUAACACAAGUGAUGAAGACUAAAGAAUUCCUCAACUGAGCAGUGAGUCAACAACCAGAGCGUGAUUCUUGGGACGCUAACAUGGGCAUGGAGAUAGAAGGUGAUGGGGGUGCCUGCAUAUCUUCAACCUGAACUGGAAGCGGAUCUCGUCUUGCGUCCGGCACCAGCUAGCAGAGUCGACAACCAU